GCUCUCCCCGCCCCGGGCCGCCUGCAGGGCGCGCCGCGUCCGGUCCGGUCCCGUCCCGUUCCGUCCCGUCGGGUCCCAGCCCCGCCAACUCUCACCCUGCCCGGCCCUUCCAGCGGAUCCACCUGCAGCCCCCGACCCCUGACUUGGUCCCCGAGGUCGGGGCUCGGUGGGAAGGAAAGCGAGGGGCUUCCCGGAAAGAAAGGGAGGAGGAGGCAGGAGGAGGCAGACGCCGAGAGAGGAGAAAAGGAGGCCAGAGGCAGAGGGAAAAGGAGGAGGGCAAGAGAAUCCUAGAGCGGGAAGAGCGUGGGCUCUGCGGGACGUGGGCGAGAGGUUACCAGGGAAAGAAUGGACAUUGACGGCAGAGAGCAAGUUUAGCCUGGAGAGGAGGAAUUGAGUGAGCAAAGGGGGUAGUCUGGGGUGCGAUGCACAGAAAGGCCCGUCCAGGGUAACCUUCACGUCUCCGUAUCCGUUGCUGUCGACUUCCCAGAGCCUUUGUUCCCAGUGACGUCCCUAUUUCAAUGGAGGGACACACUUCACCUUCCCCAGCCCCCCACCUCGAGAAUUUCUCUCACCCUCCCACCCUGCGGGGCCACAGAGCUUGCUCCUCACGGCAGGAGUUGGAGCCCUGACGCUUGCCUUCACCUAGUUUUUGUUUGGUUUGGUUUGGCGUUGAUGGGACAAAGUCAGCCAAACUACUUUGCCAUCAGCAGAGAAGGGUGCCACAAACACAGGUCAAGAGGAAGAGACCAUAACCAUAUGUCAUGAGAGGACUGUGACACAGAGAAUGGUGAUAUUUUGGCAGGGAAGUCAUUAGUGAAUGUUACUGAUCCUCCCCAAUUCCUCAUGCCUCUUCCAAAGGUACUGCCCAGUAGGAACAGGAGGCAGCAAAGACCUAACAAAAGUGGACCAUAUACAUAGUAGCAGCCAUCGGUGUCCAUAAGCCGUGAUAUCAAAGAGCUGGAGUUUUCCCACUUCUUUUCCGAGCACUGCCUGAACCAGAAACUCAGAUGUGACAUUACCAGUAAUGAGUGGUGAAGCUUCAAGAAAGCUUUCUGAACUUUCCUUUUCCAUCCAUUGUGCUAGAGAGAAAAUUGAAUUAUAUUUUCAAUCUCUCUAGAGAAAAUGUUAUAAAAUUUUUCAUAUGAGGAGAUAAUCAAAGUGUACAACCCAAAAAUGUAGAAUACAAUUGUUACAGAGGUGAAAGGCAGUUAAUUAAUAACUUAUUUUUCUGGAUUUUGUGAUGUUUGUGCUAUUUGUGUGCUUUUUAAAAAACGUUGUAUUUUGCGAUUUCCUCAUUUUAAAUACUCAUUUUCAUAGCUAAUUUUGCAUUCAUAAUUUCAUGUUCUUUUUCUUAAACAAGGCCUACCCAUCUAGCUCUGGUCUGUCCAACACAAGCUGAUCUCUGGCUCCCAUUUGGGCUGUUACAUAUUGAAGGCUAACCUUUCUGGGACAGACGCAGAAGGCACAUCUCAUCUUUAUGAGGUCCAAGUUAAUUAAAUCAAUUGAUCAUAAAUGUAAAGAUUUAUAUCUGAACUCUCAAGUCUCUUUCAUUGAUCUGUGCCAAUUCCUGUGCCAGUAUCACACUUUCUCAAUUCCUGUGGCUUUAUAGUAAAUUUUGAAAUCAAAUGUGUAAGUCCAUCAAUGUCAGUCUUUUUAUUCAGAAUUAUUUUGGCUACUCUAUGUCUUCUGCAUUUCCCCAUAAAUUCUAGAAUCAGCAAGUCAAUUUCUAUAAAAAUUCCUAUUGGGAUUUUGAUAGAGAUUGAGUGGAAUUUGUAGAUCCAUUUGGAGAUAUCUGCCAUCUUGACCAUAUUUAGCUUUCAAUCAAUAAAUACAAAAUACAUCUCCAGGUAUUUAGAUAUCUUUUGAUAUCUCUCAGCAAUAUUUUAUAGUUUUCAGUGUACAGGCCUUACCCUUCUUUUGUAAAAUUUAUUUCUAAAAGUAUUAUACUUUUUUGAUGCUGUGAAUCAAUAAUUUUUUUAAAUUUUAUUUGUAGAAUAUUCAUAAGAAUAAAAUUUUCUUAAUUUUA